UUCUACCCAACCAAUUUUUGUUUUGAAUGGAUGGUGACAAUAGCAUUUUGUAGAGCAUACUAAUAGUAAGACAAAUACUAAUAUGUGCCUUUUAGAAGGUGAAUUAAAUAUAAAAUAAUAUAUUAAAAUUUGUGUAUUUAACUUUUGAAAAAAGUUAUGUAGAUUCGUUUAGUAAAUUGUUUGUUUGUUUUUAUUUUUUUCUAAUUUUUUUGACAUAAUUGUCUUUUUUUUAUAAAAAACUUCAUAAAUAAAACUUUGAGGUCUUUGGGAAGAUACAUUAGCUUUUGUAGCUCACAAACAGCAAAAGAUAAUGAUCAAUUUUUCUCCUAUGAGAAACUUCUUGAAAUAAUUUGGUUCUACUUUGCUCUCCAAAAAAAUAAAGUUGAU
rnacentral:lncRNA from 1 species